rnacentral:rRNA from 1 species
UGAGGAAUAUUGGUCAAUGGGCGAGAGCCUGAACCAGCCAAGCAGCGUGCAGGAUGACGGCCCUAUGGGUUGUAAACUGCUUUUAUAUGGGAAUAAAGUGAGGGACGUGUCCCUUAUUGCAUGUACCAUACGAAUAAGGACCGGCUAAUUCCGUGCCAGCAGCCGCGGUAAUACGGAAGGUCCAGGCUUUAUCCGGAUUUAUUGGGUUUAAAGGGUGCGUAGGCUGUUUGUUAAGCGUGUUGUGAAAUGUAGGAGCUCAACUUUUAAAUUGCGGCGCGAACUGGCAGACUUGAGUGCGCACAACGUAGGCGGAAUUCAUGGUGUAGCGGUGAAAUGCUUAGAUAUCAUGACGAACUCCGAUUGCGAAGGCAGCUUACGGGAGCGCAACUGACGCUAAAGCUCGAAGGUGCGGGUAUCGAACAGG